CAGCAGCCACGGUAAUACGGAGGGGGCUAGCGUUGUUCGGAAUUACUGGGCGUAAAGCGCACGUAGGCGGCUCGGUAAGUUAGAGGUGAAAGCCCGGAGCUCAACUCCGGAAUUGCCUUUAAGACUGCCGAGCUAGUAGGUGAGAGAGGUAAGUGGAAUUCCGAGUGUAGAGGUGAAAUUCGUAGAUAUUCGGAAGAACACCAGUGGCGAAGGCGGCUUACUGGCUCAUUCUAGACGCUGAGGUGCGAAAGCGUGGGGAGCAAACAGGAUUAGAUACCCGGGUAGUCCCUGUCUCUUAUAC
rnacentral:rRNA from 1 species